rnacentral:rRNA from 1 species
UACGUAGGGGCGAGCGUUGUCCGGAUUUAUUGGGCGUAAAGCGCGUGUAGGCGGCCGGCUAGGUCUGGUGUGAAAACUCGAGCUCAACCUCGAGAUGUCGCCGGAAACCAGUCGGCUAGAGUCCGGAAGAGGAGAGUGGAAUUCCUGGUGUAGCGGUGAAAUGCGCAGAUAUCAGGAAGAACACCUAUGGCGAAAGCAGCUCUCUGGGACGGUACUGACGCUGAGACGCGAAAGCGUGGGGAGCGAACAGG